CAGCAGCCGCGGGAAUACGGAGGGAGCUAGCGUUGUUCGGAAUUACUGGGCGUAAAGCGCGCGUAGGCGGUUACUCAAGUCAGAGGUGAAAGCCCGGGGCUCAACCCCGGAACUGCCUUUGAAACUAGGUGACUAGAAUCUUGGAGAGGUCAGUGGAAUUCCGAGUGUAGAGGUGAAAUUCGUAGAUAUUCGGAAGAACACCAGUGGCGAAGGCGACUGACUGGACAAGUAUUGACGCUGAGGUGCGAAAGCGUGGGGAGCAAACAGGAUUAGAUACCCCUGUAGUCCCUGUCUCUUAUAC
rnacentral:rRNA from 1 species